rnacentral:rRNA from 1 species
AUUGAACGCUGGCGGCAGGCCUAACACAUGCAAGUCGAGCGGAGCGGCGGACGCGUGAGUAUGGCCUAGGAAUCUGCCUGGUAGUGGGGGAUAACGUCCGCAAACGGGCGCUAAUACCGCUUACUAUCAGAUGAGCCUAGGUCGGAUUAGCUAGUUGGUGGGGUAAAGGCCUACCAAGGCGACGAUCCGUAACUGGUCUGAGAGGAUGAUCAGUCACACUGGAACUGAGACACGGUCCAGACUCCUACGGGAGGCAGCAGUGGGGAAUUUUGGACAAUGGGCGAAAGCCUGAUCCAGCCAUGCCGCGUGUGUGAAGAAGGUCUUCGGAUUGUAAAGUACUUUCAGCGGGGAGGCGUUACCCGCAGAAGAAGCACCGGCUAACUCCGUGCCAGCAGCCGCGGUAAUAC